UACGGAGGGAGCUAGCGUUGUCCGGAAUUAUUGGGCGUAAAGAGCUCGUAGGCGGUGUGUCGCGUCGGCCGUGAAAACCUGCAGCUUAACUGUGGGCUUGCGGUCGAUACGGGCAUCACUGGAGUUCGGCAGGGGAGACUGGAAUUCCUGGUGUAGCGGUGAAAUGCGCAGAUAUCAGGAGGAACACCGGUGGCGAAGGCGGGUCUCUGGGCCGAUACUGACGCUGAGGAGCGAAAGCGUGGGGAGCGAACAGG
rnacentral:rRNA from 1 species